rnacentral:rRNA from 1 species
CAAUAGCGUAUAUUAAAGUUGUUGCAGUUAAAAAGCUCGUAGUUGGAUUUGUGGCGUACGGUGUGUUCCGGGCACUUGUUGUCUGAGUAACCUGCUGUUGCCAUCCUUGGGUGGAACCUGUGUGGCAUUAGGUUGUCGUGCAGGGGAUGCCCAUCAUUUACUGUGAAAAAAUUAGAGUGUUCAAAGCAGGCUUAUGCCGUUGAAUAUAUUAGCAUGGAAUAAUGAGAUAGGACUUUUGUGCUAUUUUGUUGGUUUGCGCAAAGAGGUAAUGAUUAAUAGGGACAGUUGGGGGUAUUCGUAUUCCAUUGUCAGAGGUGAAAUUCUUGGAUUUUUGGAAGACGAACUACUGCGAAAGCAUUUACCAAGGAUGUUUUCAUUAA